rnacentral:piRNA from 1 species
GGCUAACUCAAAAGGAUGGACCGCGC